AUCCGGAGGAUCCGAGCGUUAUCCGGAUUUAUUGGGUUUAAAGGGUGCGCAGGCGGCCAUUUAAGUCAGCGGUUAAAUCGUGGGGCUCAACCCCAUUCUGCCGUUGAUACUGGGUGGCUUGAUUGCGGUCGAGGUUGGCGGAAUUCGUUGUGUAGCGGUGAAAUGCAUAGAUAUGACGAAGAACACCGAUUGCGUAGGCAGCUGACCAGACCGCAAAUGACGCUCAUGCACGAGAGUGCGGGAGCGGACAGGAUUAGAUACCCUGGUAAUCCGCACAGUAAACGAUGAAUACGUGUUUUCGGCGAUAUAAUGUCGGAGGCAAAGCGAAAGCGAUGAGUAUUCCACCUGGGGAGUACGCCGGCAACGGUGAAACUCAAAGGAAUUGGAGGGG
rnacentral:rRNA from 1 species